rnacentral:rRNA from 1 species
AACGAACGCUGGCGGCAGGCUUAACACAUGCAAGUCGAGCGCCCCGCAAGGGGAGCGGCAGACGGGUGAGUAACGCGUGGGAAUCUACCCAUCUCUACGGAAUAACGCAUGGAAACGUGUGCUAAUACCGUAUACGUCCUUCGGGAGAAAGAUUUAUCGGAGAUGGAUGAGCCCGCGUUGGAUUAGCUAGUUGGUGGGGUAAAGGCCUACCAAGGCGACGAUCCAUAGCUGGUCUGAGAGGAUGAUCAGCCACACUGGGACUGAGACACGGCCCAGACUCCUACGGGAGGCAGCAGUGGGGAAUAUUGGACAAUGGGCGCAAGCCUGAUCCAGGCAUGCCGCGUGAGUGAUGAAGGCCCUAGGGUUGUAAGGCUCUUUCACCGGUGAAGAUAAUGACGGUAACCGGAGAAGAAGCCCCGGCUAACUUCGUGCCAGCCGCCGCCGCAGUAA